GCUAACACAGGGCAAGGAGCGGGGUGAAUACAGAGAAGGCAAGUGCGAUACGGGAUAACUGAGGAUAAAGGGUGCGCAGGCGUCCGUGGGUGCGAGGCGUGAAAGCCUGGAGCUUAACGCCAGAAUUGCACCUCAAACUACAGGGCGAGAGCAAUGGAGAGGGUAGCGGAAGUCACGGUGUAGCAGUGAAAUGCGUAGAUAUCGUGAGGAACACCAGAGGCGAAGGCGGCUACCUGGACAAUUGCUGACGCUCAGGCACGAAAGCGUGGGGAGCAAAAGGGAUUAGAUACCCUUGUAGUC
rnacentral:rRNA from 1 species